GGCUUAGAGUUUGAUCAUGGCUCAGGACGAACGCUGGCGGCGUGCCUAACACAUGCAAGUCGAACGAGAAUCUUUUGGUUGAUUUCUUCGGAAUGAAAUCAAGAGAGGACAGUGGCGGACGGGCGAGUAACGCGUGAGUAACCUGCCCAUAAGAGAGGGAUAGCACUUGGAAACGGGUAGUAAUACCUCAUAUUGAUAUUGGACCGCAUGGUUUGAUAUUGAAAGAUUUAUCGCUUAUGGAUGGACUCGCGUCUGAUUAGCUAGUUGGAGAGGUAACGGCUCACCAAGGCGACGAUCAGUAGCCGAACUGAGAGGUUGAACGGCCGCAUUGGGACUGAGACACGGCCCAGACUCCUACGGGAGGCAGCAGUGGGGAAUAUUGCGCAAUGGGGGGAACCCUGACGCAGCAACGCCGCGUGCAGGAAGAAGGUCUUCGGAUUGUAAACUGUUGUCGCGAGGGAAGAAGGAAGAUGACGGUACCUCGUGAGAAAGUCACGGCUAACUACGUGCCAGCAGCCGCGGUAAUACGUAGGGUGCAAGCGUUGUCCGGAAUUAUUGGGCGUAAGGCGUUCGUAGGCGGCUUAUUAAGUCUGGUGUUAAAGACCGGGGCUCAACUCCGGACCAGCACUGGAUACUGGUAGGCUAGAGUGUGAUAGAGGCAAGGG
rnacentral:rRNA from 1 species